UACGGGGGGAGCAAGCGUUGUUCGGAUUUACUGGGCGUAAAGGGCGCGUAGGCGGCGUGACAAGUCACUUGUGAAAUCUCCGGGCUUAACCCGGAGCGGCCAAGUGAUACUGUCGUGCUAGAGUGCGGAAGGGGCUACUGGAAUUCUCGGUGUAGCGGUGAAAUGCGUAGAUAUCGAGAGGAACACCUGCGGCGAAGGCGGGUUGCUGGGCUGACACUGACGCUGAUGCGCGAAAGCUAGGGGAGCGAACGGG
rnacentral:rRNA from 1 species